rnacentral:rRNA from 1 species
UUAUUUGAGAGUUUGAUCCUGGCUCAGGAUGAACGCUGGCGGCGUGCCUAACACAUGCAAGUUGAGCGAUUUACUUCGGUAAAGAGCAGCGGACGGGUGAGUAACGCGUGGGUAACCUACCCUGUACACACGGAUAACAUACCGAAAGGUAUGCUAAUACGGGAUGACAUAUUUGAGAGGCAUCUCUUGAAUAUCAAAGGUGAGCCAGUACAGGAUGGACCCGCGUCUGAUUAGCUAGUUGGUAAGGUAAUGGCUUACCAAGGCGACGAUCAGUAGCCGACCUGAGAGGGUGAUCGGCCACAUUGGAACUGAGACACGGUCCAAACUCCUACGGGAGGCAGCAGUGGGGAAUAUUGCACAAUGGGCGAAAGCCUGAUGCAGCAACGCCGCGUGAGUGAUGAAGGCCUUCGGGUCGUAAAACUCUGUCCUCAAGGAAGAUAAUGACGGUACUUGAGGAGGAAGCCCCGGCUAACUACGUGCCAGCAGCCGCGGUAAUACGUAGGGGGCUAGCGUUAUCCGGAUUUACUGGGCGUAAAGGGUGCGUAGGCGGUU